AUCCAGGAAGAGUUCUCAAUCAAUAUAAGUAUAGGCUUAUUGAGAUUGAAAUUAGUGAUGAACAGCAUAAUAAAAUCUUUUGUACAAUUUGGGAAUCAAAUAUUGAUUCUUAUCUCUCUGAUUUCAAAAAGAGUGAAGAAACCAUUCCGAUUGUUAUUGUUCAAAUUUGCAAGCCUAAUUUAUUUAGAGGUGAAAUGAGAA